CAGCACCUCAAGUGGUCAGGAUGAUUAUUGGGCCUAAAGCAUCCGUAGCCGGCGCUGUAAGUUUUCGGUUAAAUCUGUACGCUCAACGUACAGGCUGCCGGGAAUACUGCAGCGCUAGGGAGUGGGAGAGGUAGACGGUACUCGGUAGGAAGGGGUAAAAUCCUUUGAUCUAUUGAUGACCACCUGUGGCGCAGGCGGUCUACCAGAACACGUCCGACGGUGAGGGAUGAAAGCUGGGGGAGCAAACCGGAUUAGAUACCCGUGUAGUCC
rnacentral:rRNA from 1 species